AAAAACUCAAUUCCUAAGUUUCCGUGUCUAAUAUUUGACCGUUCAUCUUAUUUAAAAAAAUUAUGAAAAAUUUUUAAAAGAUAAGUCAUGCAUAAAGUAUUAUUCAUAUUUUAUCAUCUAACAAUAAUAAAAAUACUAAUAAAAAUUUUUUCAUAUAAGAUAGACAGUCAAACGUUAAACACAAAAACCGAAGAAUUCGGUCUCU
rfam:Oryza barthii chromosome 10, whole genome shotgun sequence.